rnacentral:rRNA from 1 species
CCUACGGGAGGCAGCAGUGGGGAAUAUUUGCUCAAUGGGCGAAAAGCCUGAUGCAGCGACGCCGCGUGAGGGAUGACGCCCUUCGGGUUGUAAACCUCUUUCAGCAGGGACGAAGCGCAAGUGACGGUACCUGCAGAAGAAGCACCGGCUAACUACGUGCCAGCAGCCGCGGUAAUACGUAGGGUGCAAGCGUUGUCCGGAAUUACUGGGCGUAAAGAGUUCGUAGGCGGUUUGUCGCGUCGUUUGUGAAAACCAGCAGCUCAACUGCUGGCUUGCAGGCGAUACGGGCAGACUUGAGUACAGCAGGGGAGACUGGAAUUCCUGGUGUAGCGGUGAAAUGCGCAGAUAUCAGGAGGAACACCGGUGGCGAAGGCGGGUCUCUGGGCAGUAACUGACGCUGAGGAACGAAAGCGUGGGUAGCGAACAGGAUUAGAUACCCUGGUAGUCUACGCCGUAAACGGUGGGCGCUAGGUGUGGGUUCCUUCCACGGAAUCCGUGCCGUAGCUAACGCAUUAAGCGCCCCGCCUGGGGAGUACGGCCGCAAGGCUAAAACUCAAAGAAUUGACGGGG